ACCAUCCUUUUCUUGGGGUUGCACUACUAUCCAAUGAAUGUAUAGUGAGGGUAGUACUGCUAAUGCUUACGGGACACACUAAAAAAAAAAAAGUUAAAUACCAUUUGUGAAAUU
rnacentral:ncRNA from 1 species